rnacentral:tRNA from 1 species
GGUCGCUUAGCUCAGUUGGUUAGAGCGUGGUGCUAAUAGAUUUCAUCCUUGACACGCCAAGGUCGCGAGUUCGACCCUCGUAGUGACCA